AAUACAGGGUACAUAGAACUUAACAUUACAGUAACUGAAAAACUAAAACAGGAUAGGUAACAAUUAGCAACACAGUUCUCAGUACACACUACAGCUGAGAUAUAAGGAAGCAAAGGAGGAGGAGUCGUCAUACUACUAGGGGCAUGAAGCCACUGGACGAGAUAAACAGUAAUGAGUGAGAGGAGAUGCAGGUAUAGACAUUUGCUACGUAGGAGCAGGGGCGGAACUGUGGGAGGCAGUGGAGUCGGCUGCCGCCGGGCUCCUGGCCACAAGGGGGCGCAUCUCCUCCACUGUCUCCCGCAGCCUGAGAACUGCGCUGCUAUUGCAGAUGGAGGAGCUGUGUCAGUGACACGGAAGCUGCCUCCUGUAGAGAGAGAUGGCACUGGCUGCAGCUAGGGGGAGCUCCAGAGCACAGCUCCUCCCGGGCCCUUAGUAAGCCAGCCGAGGGAAGCUCAGAACUCUCUGCUCCUCCAUGCUCUGGAUGAUAGCCAAAGACAGCUGAAUCCCGCCCUGCCCGUUUUUGUGCGCCCUGCCGCCCCGCCGUUUGCUGCCUGCCGGACCCCUCCACGUCGGCCAGCCGUGCGCCGCCAGACCCGAAGUGACCUCAUAUAAAAGCGGACACUGAAAAACGGACCCACAGCAGUGAAUCCAAACAAACCGCUACGUGAACAUAGGGACCAGUUCCAAGGAGGAUUCCAGUUACAGCUUUGCAAUAUUUCUCAAACCUGCGGUUACACUGAGUAGAGAAGGUUAAACAUCUAUCACCUCCUUAUGAAUACGUGGAAUUGGACAGUACAUUCUUAUCUAGUUUUCCCUUGAGGAAAACUCUUGGUCAUCAUUUUCAUUAUUAGCAAAUUGCGUCUGUGUUCUAUUUUUUGUUGUAUAUUGUACUCCCGGCACCAACCGGAGGCAACAACAUCUGUCUACUGGUUCCAGUACAGCACCUCGUCAACAGGCCCAACCCAGGUCUGUGGCCACCGCAGAGAAUCCUGUCCACAGCCCUAUUAGUGAACUUGCAUGAGGAGAUCCUACAUUCUGCCUUCUCUGUUCUUACACAGCCCCAGUUCCACUUCCCGGCCAUUGCAAGCUCUCGGAGUACCCAAGUCCUGUGACAAUUGCACUAUUUUGUUUCUCCUCCUUGUCCACAUACUGUAUUACCUACGUGAGCAAAAUAGGAGGAUACUGAAGGUGCACUAAGAAUCCUAUUCAUCUACAUUUAACAUAAUAGGAGUCUGAAAGUGGAUCUGGAAUUUUUUAUUGUUGACUGACAUUGCAAAGAAAUGAGAGUAUGACUUGACACUUUCUGUAUGUGAGGUAGGUCUAUGGUGUUUUCACCCACAUAUUAUAAUCCACCCUACAUGUUACUUGAAUAAGCGCUUAUUGGAUUUUAUCACUAUCAUGAUAAUACAUUUACAAAAAGUGAUCACAUAUUGCAAUGUAAUCCUGGGCGCUAAUAUUGCAUCCAGAUUGCAUUAAAUAUGUGAUUAAUGAUAAAUGGGUCCCUAUAACAGCAGGCACCCCAAGCUUGCAUUGUAUAUGUCAUUUUCCCUUAGUUUCAAACAACACACACCAUAUAUACACCCCUGCUUGCCUGUUUGGGUUUUACAACUAACAUCUAGUUUAUAAUACUUUUGGUUAACCAACCUGCUGCGUGUAUGUAGGUCAGUCUCUCCCAUUUUAGGAUGUUGUGGCCCAUAUGUCAUACAGGCAGUGACGACCACACAUUGCAUGGGGGAGCCAGUCAGCACAUAUAAACAUACAUGCAAUGUUGUAGGCAGGAGCGUAACUAGAAUUUUGUGGGUCCCAUAGCAAAAUUUUGAAGAGGCCCCAACUCAGGACUCCAGGGAGUGGCAGCAGGGACAUAGAGACAGAAAUUGGCGGGACACAGAGAGUGACAGCAGGGACACAGAGACAGAGAGAGUGGCAGCAGGGAGACAGAGAGAGAGAGAGAGAGUGCCAGCAAAGACUUAGGGACAGAAUGAGGCAAAGAAACAGAGAGAGAGAGGCAGCAAGGACAUAGGUAUAGAAAGAGAGGAAGCAGGGACUUAGGAAGAUGCAGCAGGGACAUAGGGACAAAAAGAGUGGCAGUUGUCCCCUUAGUACCCCCUUGAUGGCUGCCCUGGGAUAAGUAUUGUAAAAAUAAAUAUGUUUGGAUUCAAAAUGUCUUCGCAU